rnacentral:rRNA from 1 species
AUUGAACGCUGGCGGCAGGCCUAACACAUGCAAGUCGAACGAGUGGCGGACGGGUGAGUAAUGUCUGGGCAACUGCCUGAUGGAGGGGGAUAACUACUGGCCACGGUAGCUAAUACCGCAUACCCUCAGAUGUGCCCAGAUGGGAUUAGCUUGUUGGUGGGGUAACGGCUCACCAAGGCGACGAUCCCUAGCUGGUCGGAGAGGAUGACCAGCCACACUGGAACUGAGACACGGUCCAGACUCCUACGGGAGGCAGCAGUGGGGAAUAUUGCACAAGGGGCGCAAGCCGGAUGCGGCCAUGCCGCGGGGAUGAAAAAGGCCUGCGGGUUGUAAAGUACUUUCAGUGGGGAGGCGUUACCCGAAGAAGAAGCACCGGCUAACUCCGUGCCAGCAGCCGCGGUAAUAC